rnacentral:snRNA from 1 species
GGAUAUGAGGGCAGUCUGGCUGCAACAUCUGUCACCUCAUUGAUGGACAGGUUUGAUUAAACUGAUCUGGCUGGCUGGAUCAGUGUCUCCUUCCCCCUUCACUCAUGUGUGUCCCUCCCAAAACUGUAUGCUGACUUGAUGACUUUCCCUGGAUAAAGGAGGACUGAUGCUCCAUUAAGGAUAUAUGAGUAGCUUCACUCCCCGGCUAGAACCUCUAAACAAACUCUCAAAAUGUAAUCCCAACUAGUAGUAUCUACCUUUCAGCAACUUGUUAAAAAUGAACAAUUU